UACGAAGGGUGCAAGCGUUACUCGGAAUUACUGGGCGUAAAGCGUGCGUAGGUGGUUUGUUAAGUCUGUUGUGAAAGCCCCGGGCUCAACCUGGGAACCGCGCUUGAGACUGGCAUGCUCGAGUUCGGGAGAGGAUGGUGGAAUUCCCAGUGUAGAGGUGAAAUUCGUAGAUAUUGGGAAGAACACCGAUGGCGAAGGCAGCCAUCUGGACCGACACUGACGCUGAGGCGCGAAAGCGUGGGGAGCAAACAGG
rnacentral:rRNA from 1 species